rnacentral:rRNA from 1 species
GGUCAAGUGAAGAAGCGCAUACGGUGGAUGCCUUGGCAGUCAGAGGCGAUGAAAGACGUGGUAGCCUGCGAAAAGCUUCGGGGAGUCGGCAAACAGACUUUGAUCCGGAGAUGUCUGAAUGGGGGAACCCAGCCAUCAUAAGAUGGUUAUCUUGUACUGAAUACAUAGGUGCAAGAGGCGAACCAGGGGAACUGAAACAUCUAAGUACCCUGAGGAAAAGAAAUCAACCGAGAUUCCCUUAGUAGUGGCGAGCGAACGGGGACUAGCCCUUAAGUGGCUUUGAGAUUAGCGGAACGCUCUGGAAAGUGCGGCCAUAGUGGGUGAUAGCCCUGUACGCGAAAAUCUCUUAGCCAUGAAAUCGAGUAGGACGGAGCACGAGAAACUUUGUCUGAAUAUGGGGGGACCAUCCUCCAAGGCUAAAUACUACUGACUGACCGAUAGUGAACUAGUACCGUGAGGGAAAGGCGAAAAGAACCCC